GACCUUCGGCACAUCAUCACAUGGAAGAAACGGGGUGACGUAAAACCAAUCUGGAGUGAGGCGUACUGGGCUCAAUGGGACAGUCUGAUACUUCAAAAUGGAAUACUCUACCGGAAAUGGGAGAAGACUAACGGCAGAGAGUUCCACCUUCAGAUAAUUGUCCCAAGAACGAGAGUACCAGAUUUUCUCCGUGAAAUACAUGAUGGGGUAUCAGGAGGUCAUCUAGGUGUCAAGAGGAC
rnacentral:misc_RNA from 1 species